rnacentral:rRNA from 1 species
UGAGUAACACGUAUCCAACCUGCCGUCUACUCUUGGACAGCCUUCUGAAAGGAAGAUUAAUACAAGAUGGCAUCAUGAGUUCACAUGUUCACAUGAUUAAAGGUAUUCCGGUAGACGAUGGGAAUGCGUUCCAUUAGAUAGUAGGCGGGGUAACGGCCCACCUAGUCUUCGAUGGAUAGGGGUUCUGAGAGGAAGGUCCCCCACAUUGGAACUGAGACACGGUCCAA